rnacentral:rRNA from 1 species
AGUGAACGCUGGCGGUAGGCCUAACACAUGCAAGUCGAACGGCAGCACAGUAAGAGCUUGCUCUUACGGGGGGCGAGUCGCGUACGGGUGAGGUAUACAUCGGAAUCUACUUUUUCGUGUGGGUUAACGUAGGGGAACUUACUCUAAUACCGCAUACGACCUACGGGUGAAAGCAGGGGAUCUUCGGACCUUGCGCGAUUGAAUGAGCCGAUGUGGGAUUAGCUAGUUGGCUGGGUAAAGGCCCACCAAGGCGACGAUCCGUAGCUGGACUGAGAGGAUGGUAGGCGACACUGGAACUGAACCAGGGUCAAGACGCCUGAGGGAGGCAGCAGUGGGGAAUAGUAGGCAGUAGGCGGGAGCAUUGUCCAGCCAUACCGCGUGGGUGGAAAAGGCGUUCGGGUUGUAAAGCCCUUUUGUUGGGAAAGAAAAGCAGCAGGUUAAUACCACGCUGUUCUGACGGUACCCAAAGAAUAAGCACCGGCUAACUUCGUG